AUAUUGUUAUCAUUUUCGAUAGUCUUGAAAAAAAAUUAGCUGCCGAGAUACCUACUCAUACGUCUAUCAAUUCAAUAGUCACACCAGUUUACUAAUAAUUAGCCUUCAAUAAUUUCUGAAAACACUCUAAUAUGACCUCUAAUGUUAAUUUGAUGUUAAUAUUAAAGAAUAAUUUC